UACGUAGGUGGCAAGCGUUGUCCGGAUUUACUGGGCGUAAAGAGCGCGCAGGCGGUCGUUCAAGUCGAGUGUGAAAGCCCCCGGCUCAACUGGGGAGGGUCACUCGAUACUGAUCGACUUGAAGGCAGGAGAGGGAAGCGGAAUUCCCGGUGUAGUGGUGAAAUGCGUAGAUAUCGGGAGGAACACCAGUGGCGAAGGCGGCUUCCUGGCCUGUUCUUGACGCUGAGACGCGAAAGCGUGGGGAGCAAACAGG
rnacentral:rRNA from 1 species